rnacentral:snRNA from 1 species
AUACUCUGGUUUCUCUUCAAAUCAUAUAAAUCUUUUACCUUUUAGUGAACAUUUUUGUGGAAAGGAACAACUUUGAGACUAAAGCCACUUUUUUGAGUCCUUGUUUCAGCAAGUUU